rnacentral:rRNA from 1 species
UACGGAGGGUGCAAGCGUUAUCCGGAUUCACUGGGUUUAAAGGGUGCGUAGGUGGGCAGGUAAGUCAGUGGUGAAAUCUCCAAGCUUAACUUGGAAACUGCCGUUGAUACUAUCUGUCUUGAAUAUUGUGGAGGUGAGCGGAAUAUGUCAUGUAGCGGUGAAAUGCUUAGAUAUGACAUAGAACACCAAUUGCGAAGGCAGCUCACUACACAAUCAUUGACUCUGAGGCACGAAAGCGUGGGGAUCAAACAGG